GUGAACGCUGGCGGUAGGCCUAACACAUGCAAGUCGAACGGCAGCACAGUAAGAGCUUGCUCUUCCGGGUGGCGAGUGGCGGACGGGCGAGGAAUACAUCGGAAUCUACUUUUUCGUGGGGGAUAACGUAGGGAAACUUACGCUAAUACCGCAUACGACCUACGGGUGAAAGCAGGGGAUCUUCGGACCUUGCGCGAUUGAAUGAGCCGAUGUCGGAUUAGCUAGUUGGCGGGGUAAAGGCCCACCAAGGCGACGAUCCGUAGCUGGUCUGAGAGGAUGAUCAGCCACACUGGAACUGAGACACGGUCCAGACUCCUACGGGAGGCAGCAGUGGGGAAUAUUGGACAAUGGGCGCAAGCCUGAUCCAGCCAUACCGCGUGGGUGAAGAAGGCCUUCGGGUUGUAAAGCCCUUUUGUUGGGAAAGAAAAGCAGCAGGUUAAUACCCCGCUGUUCUGACGGUACCCAAAGAAUAAGCACCGGCUAACUUCGUG
rnacentral:rRNA from 1 species